AAGUCCCGGGAACUCUCUUUUAUUGAAUAUUACAAACAUUGCCACAGGUGUGCUUGUGGCUGAUUGGCUGAUACAAACACAAAGCAUCUUGUUGCUGAUUGGUUAACAUAGGUACAAGGCGGGCAUUACAUAUUACAUUAAUCAGUGAUAGUUCAAAAGACUGGGAACGGAGCUGGAACUAGACAGGCAUGAAACCUCCUAAUUAAAUUAUAACUAAAGAUUGAUAUUGAGAGAACAUAACAUGAAGGAAUACAACAAUCACGUUCCGUAAAUGUGGUCAGCAAUGCAUUAAGAACAGGUCAGGAUACACUGUUUCAUGAACUCAAUGGGAACUGUUCAGAACAUUCUCAGACUCUUGUGCAGAAGCAGAGAAAAGAUUAUGAGCGAGACUUCCCAGAAUGCAAGAGGAAAGAAGCAAGGGUUCUCAUAGUGAGCAUAGAAAGAUUUCAUAGUAAGACUUCCCACAAUGCAACAGUUAUGUGCAGUAAGAGAACUGCAGAAAGAGAACUUCACAGUGAGAGAACUGCAGAAAGAAAACUUCCCUUCAAGAAG